rnacentral:rRNA from 1 species
AAUCAAACGCGAAAGGGUAUCUGAUGGAUGCCUUGGCACUAAGAGGCGAUGAAGGACGUGAUAGGCUGCGAUAAGCUGCGGGGAGAUGUCAAUAAUUUUUGAUCCGCAGAUUUCCGAAUGGGGGAACCUACCUUUUUAAGGUAUUCCGAAAGGAAAGCUAACCUGAUGAACUGAAACAUCUAAGUAAUCAGAGGAAAAGAAAUCAAACGAGACUCCGUUAGUAGCGGCGAGCGAACGCGGAACAGCCCUAUAUUAUAAAAUUUUUAACUAAAAUACUAUGGAAAGAGUAGCUAGAGUAGGUGAUAGCCCUGUAUAGGUAAGGGAAUUUUAUUUUUGAGAGUAGAACGGGACACGUGUUAUCCUGUUUGAAUAUGGGGGGACUACCCUCCAAGGCUAAGUACUACUUAGUGACCGAUAGUGAACUAGUACCGUGAGGGAAAGGUGAAAAGAACCUCGAGAGGGGAGUGAAAUAGACCUGAAAUCAGAUACUUACAAGCAGUCGAAGCGGUUUUUUACCGUAACGGCGUACCUUUUGCAUAAUGAGCCAGCGAGUUUAUCUUUUGAGCAAGCUUAAGCCGAUAGGUGUAGGCAUAGCGAAAGCGAGUCUUAAUAGGGCGAUAGUUCAUGGGAUAAGACCCGAAACCGGGUGAUCUAGCUAUGAGCAGGCUGAAGGCGUGGUGAUACACGCUGGAGGGCCGAACCAUAUCACGUUGCAAUGUGUGUGGAUGACUUGUUGCUAGGGGUGAAAGGCUAAUCAAACUCGGAAAUAGCUGGUUCUCCGCGAAAUCUAUUGAGGUAGAGCGUCAUAUUUAUCUUAUUCGGGGUAGAGCUCUGAAUAGGCUAGGGGGGAGAAAUCUUUACCAAACCUAAUCAAACUACGAAUACGAAUAAUUGUUUUGUAUGGCAAGACAGACAUAGGGUGCUAAGAUCCUAGAGUCAAGAGGGAAAGAGCCCAGACCAUUGUUUAAGGUCCCAAAACACAUCUAAGUGGUUAAGGAGGUGACAGAACCAAGACAGUCAGGAGGUUGGCUUAGAAGCAGCCAUCCUUUAAAGAAAGCGUAAUAGCUCACUGAUCUAUUAGUUUUGUUGCGCCGAAAAUGUAACGGGGCUAAGUUGUGUACCGAAAACGUGGGUAUUUUAAAUUUUAUUUAAUAAUACGGUAGCGGAGCGUUCUGUAAGCCUGUGAAGGCGAGAUGGGAGUCUCGCUGGAGGUAUCAGAAGUGAGAAAGCUGGCAUGAGUAGCAUAAAAAAAUGUGAGAAACAUUUUCGCUGAAAGUCCAAGGGUUCCUGCGCAAGGGUUGUCCUCGCAGGGUUAGUCGGUCCCUAAGGUGAGAACUUUAGUUGUAGCCGAUGGGAAUCAGGUUUAAGUUUAAAAGCUUAAUGUAAAAAUAAUAUUCCUGAACCUUCUGAUUGUGACGAAGAAAAGUAUUUGUAACCGUUUAUUGGAUUAUGGUUGCAGGUUUGAUCUUCCAGGAAAUAGCAAUCAGUUUUUAUAGACCGUACCCCAAACCAACACAGGUGGACUGGUAGAGUAUACUAAAGCGUUUGAGAGAAUGGUGUUGAAGGAACUCGGCAAAUUAAUCUUGUAACUUCGGGAAAAGAGAUGUCGAUGUAAGGGAAACCUUAUGUUGAUGGCACUAAAAAGGGAGUGGCGACUGUUUAUCAAAAACACAGGGCUCUGCAAAAAUCAAAAUUGAUGUAUAGGGCCUGACGCCUGCCCGGUGCUGGAAGGUUAAUAGGAUUUGCGCAAGCAAUGAAUAGAAGCCCCAGUAAACGGCGGCCGUAACCAUGACGGUCCUAAGGUAGCGAAAUUCCUUGUCAGGUAAAUUCUGACCUGCAUGAAUGGCGUAACGACUGCUCCGCUGUCUCCAACACCAACUCAGUGAAGUUGAAUUCUCCGUGCAAAUGCGGAGUAUCCAUGGUUAGACGGAUAGACCCCGUGCACCUUUACUAUAGCUUUACAUUGGCAGAAUGAUAAUCAUGUGUAGGAUAGGCGGUAGCCUUUGAAGCGUGAGCGCUAGCUUGCGUGGAGGCGUCCUUGAAAUACCGUCCUUGAUGUUCGUUUUUCCUAAUCUGGCUUGUGAUCCAAGUCAGAGAAAGUGUAUGGUGGGUAGUUUGACUGGGGCGGUCGCCUCCUAAAGAGUAACGGAGGCGUACAAAGGUAGGUUCAGGUUGUUUGGAAAGCAACUGUUGAGUGCAAUGGCAUAAGCCUGCUUGACUGCGAGACGGACAGGUCGAGCAGGGACGAAAGUCGGGCUUAGUGAUCCGGUGGUACCGAGUGGAAGGGCCAUCGCUCAACGGAUAAAAGCUACCCUGGGGAUAACAGGCUAAUCUCUCCCAAGAGUCCAUAUCGACGGGGAGGUUUGGCACCUCGAUGUCGGCUCAUCACAUCCUGGGGCUGAAGUAGGUCCCAAGGGUUGGGCUGUUCGCCCAUUAAAGUGGUACGUGAGCUGGGUUCAGAACGUCGUGAGACAGUUCGGUCCCUAUCCAUCGCGGGCGUAAGAAACUUGAAGGGAACUGCUCCUAGUACGAGAGGACCGGAGUGGACGAACCAAUGGUGUACCAAUUAUUCCGCCAGGAGUACAGUUGGGUAGCUACGUUCGGAAAGGAUAAACGCUGAAAGCAUCUAAGCGUGAAACCAGCCUUAAGAUGAGGUUUCCCUAUAGGAUGGUGGAAGAUGACCACCUUGAUAGGCUAGGUGUGUAAGCCAAGUAAUUGGUUAAGCUGACUAGUACUAAUAUCUGAUUGGUUUGAUUCUUG